UACAGAGGGUGCGAGCGUUGUUCGGAAUCACUGGGCUUAAAGGGCGCGUAGGCGGCUCCGCAAGUCGGGGGUGAAAUCUUUCGGCUUAACCGGAAAAGUGCCUCUGAUACUGCGGAGCUCGAGGGAGGUAGGGGCGGACGGAACUUCCGGUGGAGCGGUGAAAUGCGUUGAUAUCGGAAGGAACGCCGGUGGCGAAAGCGGUCCGCUGGCCCUCUACUGACGCUGAGGCGCGAAAGCCAGGGGAGCAAACGGG
rnacentral:rRNA from 1 species